rnacentral:rRNA from 1 species
UACGUAGGGUGCAAGCGUUGUCCGGAAUUAUUGGGCGUAAAGAGCUCGUAGGCGGUCUGUCGCGUCUGCUGUGAAAACUCAGGGCUUAACCCUGAGCUUGCAGUGGGUACGGGCAGACUAGAGUGCGGUAGGGGAGACUGGAAUUCCUGGUGUAGCGGUGAAAUGCGUAGAUAUCGAGAGGAACACCUGCGGCGAAGGCGGGUUGCUGGGCUGACACUGACGCUGAACUGCGAAAGCUAGGGGAGCGAACGGG